GACUCAGAGCAGUAUAGUGUGAUAUGGUUUCUGACUGACCUGGUCUCUGCUGCUCUUAUCAUCUGUGUCUUCAAUUCCACUGGUGGCGUGAGCGAGGCCUACACUUCUGGUCAGGCAGUCGACAGACACACGAGACCGGGCCUUAUAGCAAGUUCAGGACCGAUCCUGUGGAGUCAGGGUGGGGUCGAUGGAAUCCCUUCCACUCAGAGUCACCUACUAGAGCUCUCAUCUCUCUCCCUCUGGACCUCAACCCAUGAACUCAACUCAUGAACCAAUGAACCUCCCAUGAACCAUUCCCAAACCCCAAAUCUUUGGACUUCAACCCACACAUGAACCCUGCACCAACCCCUCACCUGAACUCCAACUACCACACCCCUGACCUCUAACCCUUAACCUUUGCCCAGCAGAGCUCAGCGACGUCUGGUCCAUAUCCAGUGGGAAUGUCCGAACGGAACUACGGACCCCCAGUACCCUCCACACCAUCACAGAGGAGUAACACACACAGACACUCACCCAGUCACGCACACACAAAGUGUGACCACACAAGAAUGAGCAUAGGGAAACGUGAAGGAAAACAAGAGAAGAGGAUGAACUGAAUGUGUAAAAAYAGGAAGAGGCUGAUGUAAUGUGAAAGAUAAGCCAGUAUUUUGAUAAUCCUGACUAAGACUGUUGUUCCCGUGUCCUCACCUGACCAGCUCAUUCACACCCCCUCUGGUGACCACUGGAACUGCAGAACUGAAUUGCUGAAAUAUGAAAUAUACACUGAACAAAAAAUAUAAACGCAACAUGUAAAGUGUUAGUCUCAUAUUUCAUGAGCUGAAAUAAAAAA